rnacentral:lncRNA from 1 species
GUCUACUUUUCUGUAGGUCACACAAAGCAUAAUAUUUUACCAAGUGUGUAUUGGGAUACCUCCAGUCGCACUAUUCAGUGCAUACCAACUGUUGCUUUAUUUACACAUGCUUUUCUUUUUUUUUUUUUUCUUCCCUUUUAGCCUUCAGGAAGAAUUAUUGGAGUAUUUUUAUUUUUGUUUUAAGCAAAUUGCUAUCCUUGACUUGGUGAUUACUUUCUAGAUUUGCACAAUCCUUUCAGAAUCCUUUCAAAAAUAAUGUGUUUUCAUUUGAGCACAAAGAAUUAACCCUAUAGCAAAACAAAGACAGACAGACAGAUAAAUAGAUAGGCAGACAGAUAAAUGAGCAAAUAAACAACAAAUAAGAUCAGAUAAAUGAUUUUCUCUUCUGCCACACAUCAUGUAUGCAAAGCACAGUGUAUGCAUAGAUGAAAUACAAAUGAAGAUAGGGACCUAGUAUACUUUCUUCCUGAAUAUGGAGCUAUCUUACAAACAGCCUUGUCAUGUUAGCCAAGGCUCCCCACUGUGAAAGAAUGGACUGAAUUAUGAUUGCACUCCAGAACCUGAGUACAAAUUCUUUUCCUUUUAUGCAAAUACUUUCAUAUCUUCAAAAGAAAGAGUCAAAAAUAUGGAAUCAUAAUACCUGGUCUUGAAUUCUUAAUUCUUAGUGUAAUAAAUCACUUUAUUCCUUUUUUUUUUUCCACUAGCAAAUUUGUUUUUAAUACACAUUUCUUUAUGAAUCAUGUUGGGAAAGAAAAAUCAGAGCAAAAGGGAAAAAUUAUGGGAGAGAUAGAUUAAAAAAAACAGAAAAAAGAAGUGAACAUACCAUGCAUUGAUUUACAUUCAGUUACCUUAGUUCUUUUUUAGAUGCCAAUGGCAUUUUCUCCAAAGUCUAUUGGGAUUGCUUUGCAUCACUGAACCACCGGGAAGAACCAGGUCUUUCAUAGUUGAUCAUCACACAUUCUUGCUGUUACUUUGCACAUGUGUUCCUAGUUCUGCUUGUUUCUCUCACCAUCAGUUUGUGUAACUCUUUUCAGGCCUUUCUGAAAUCAGCUUGUUCAUCAUUUUUUAUAGAAUAGUAAUAUUCCAUUAUCUUCAUAUACCACAACUUGUUUAACCAUUUCCCAAUUGAUGGGCUUCUACUCAGCUUCCAAUUCUUUGCUACCACAACAAAGAGCUGCUACAAACAUUUUUGCACAUGUGGGUACUUUUCUCUUCUUUAAGAUUUUCUUGGGAUGGAGACCCAACAAUGACACUGCUGUGUCAAAGAGUAUGAAGUCUUAUUCCCCUUUAGGCAUAGUUCCAAAUUGCUCUCCAGAAUAGUUAGGUUAUUUCACAAUUCCAUCAAUAAUGCAUUAGCAUCCUAGUCUUCCCACAUUUCCUCCAACAUUAGUCAUUAUUUUGUACUAUCAUCUUAGAUAAUCUGAGAAGUAUGAGGUGGUACCUCAGAGUUGUUUUAAUUUGCAUUUCUGUCACCACUAGUGAUUUAGAGCAUUUUUUCAUAUAACUAUAAAUGGUUUUAAUUUUGUAAUCUGAAAAUUGUCUGACCACUUAUCAAUUGGGGAAUACUUUAUUCCUUUAGACAAUGAUUUCCUGAAGUACAAAAUUAACUGAGUUAAACUUUAAAUUCCUUUCUAGAUUAAAUCCUAUGAUUCUGUGACUAAAAACUCAGCAAUAAUAUCACAAAAGUUAUAGAGAUUUAAAAAAAAGAUGUAAUAUGAAAGUAAUGGAAUAUUAUUGUUGAAUAGAAUGAAAUAUUUAUGAUAUCAAUGGGAAUAAAUCAAUGAAAUUUGGGAAAACUUCAAUGAACAGAUGUGCAGAGUCUGAUAUGCAACAUCAAAAGAACAAUGGAUAUGAAUAAUACUGCAAAAAUAAGUUAAAAGAUCAAUAAAAAGAAGCUGAAUUUGGAAUAAAUAAAAAAUUAAUGGUAUCAGAAAACAUAAUGAAGCAUACUUUUUAUGGGAAAAAGGCAAUGAACUAUUAGGAUAGUAGUUCAAACAAAAUUAUUUAAGUUUUUGUUUUGUUUUGUGCUUAAUUUUUUUCUUUCUUUCUUUCUUUUUAAAGAGGUGGUUCAAUAUGGAGGGGAAAAGAGAAGAUGAUGCAAUGCCAUAAAUGAUUAGUGUUUUUAAAAGGUCUCAAUAAAAUGUAUAUGGAUAAUAAAUAUACAGUGUUCCAAAAGUCUUAAUGCAAUUCUAAGCAUAAAUAACUUCAAAGAUCUGUCUAUGGCCAAUUUGAAAAAUAAUUCUGGAAUUACUAAUAAUAACAAUUAACAUUUAUAUAGGUUUACAAAGAUAUUUCUUCAUAAUAACCUUUUAGGUAUAGAGAACCUGUGGGAGAAUGGGGAGGGAGAAUAUCUUAGAAAGCUUGGUAAAUAAUAAUAUGGCUGACAUUACUCACUGUUACAAAUUACAACUCAAAAUACAAUUCACUCUUCUGUUCUCGUCUUAAAUGUGGGGCUUGGCUAAGUGAGAUCUACUGACCUUUUAUUUCAUCUUCCUACUCCUCAGCCAGGAAUGUGUACUAUAGACAGACACAGGAAUUAGCCUGCACUGGAAACUGUUAGAAUGGUCUCCAGUUGCUUACAGUAAGAUAGAAUAUUUAUUUAACAACAACAUUGAAAUCCAAACUGUUAAUGUGAUGUCUCUUAACUGCUCAAUGUCAGUACACUGUCAAGAUGCCAGCUUCCUAUUUGAUAUCUUUUUAAUUUUCAGUAUUCCAGUACUGUUUUGGUGGAAGCAGACUUCUGCAUUAUAUUUAUAUCUUCUUUAAACUAGAUGGUUUUAAUUUCAUGAAAGGAGUGUGUGUGCAACAUAGGGAACAAUAAGCUCCUAUGCAACAUGGAAAGAUACUGUGAAAAAUGUGAAUGUUCCUUUUCCCCUUAAUUUUACCCCAGACCUAAAAGCACUAUUUCUUGGAAUUUAAUUAGUAAAUAAUGGAAAGAAAAUGAGAGUUGAGAAAAAAAAUUAAGUGAUUUAUAAAUUUACCUUUAGGAGCUGAGGAAUAGAGGGGGAAGUUUUAUUUCAUAGUUCUUAGCCAUGAUGUAUCCGGUAAAAGAUGAAACCAAACUAAAUUUCAAACACAUUUCCAGAGGGAUCAUCAAAAGAUUGUAUUUCACCAGGCUCCUAAUUUGUGUCAGAAAAUGACUGAAAGGAAUUAGUGGGAAUGGAUGGUGUAAGAGUCAUUUUGUAAUAAGAACAAUGAAGAAAGAAUUCAUGUCUGAACUUCCUAGGAUAUGCUACUGGGAUGCCUCAAGAUUGAAGCAUGCAACAAAAAUCAAGAAGAGAAUGGCAUCAAUAGCCUACAUUGACAUUGCUCUUUAAGUUUUGCAGUGCUGAACACAAAUUCUUUUAAUAGACUAUGAGUUUGUUGAGGGCAGGUCUUUUUUACUAUCUCUUUUUUUCUAUCUCUAGGGCUUAACAGAGUGCCUGGGUACAUAGAAGGUGGUUAGUAAAUGUCAACUGAUUGAUUAAUCCUUACAAUAAUCAUGUGAGGUAGAUUCUGUUGGUUAUAACUUUGAAACAGACCUAAGAAGUCAUUUAUCUCAAACCCCUCAAUUUAAAGAUGAAAAAAUUGAGUUUCAGAGCAGUUAAGUAGCUUUCCCAGGACCACAGAACUAGUAAAUAUCAGAAGAACUUGACCCAGGUCUUCUAAAUUCCAAUUGCAUGAAUCUUUCUGUUACAUCAUAUUGUCUCUGACUCAUUAUACUAAUUUAACAGAUGACUUAAUUAAUAAAUGAUUGAAUUGAGAGUUAGGUCACUGGCAAAUUUUACUGGUAGGAUUCAAACCCCAAACUCCAAAUUCCAUGCAGUUUUCUACACCUGAAAAUAUGUGCAAUUACUUGGUAGACUUCAAUUAUUUGUCAUUAUGAAUGCAAUUACAAAGCAUGUUAACUGAAAGGAUAAGUAACAUACUUUAUUAUGUUAGCUGGGUUAUCAACCAGUAGUUCAAGUAUUCCAUAAGUCAACCCAAAUAUUAUUUUGCACAAUAUCUAUAACAGUAAGAUAGAAAGAGGGUCCCAUUCUAUAAAAUGAUUUAUUGGGAUUGGGUUUCUAGAACUACAUAAAAAUAUCCAUAAGCAUUCUUCUUAAUGCAUUAUUUUAUGUGACAGUCAUCAAGUGAUAUAUUUUCUGACAAUUUCCAAGAUGACUAUAUAAACACAUUUUUGUUGAUGCCUAAUAUAUUAUGAAGUUUCUACAGGCUAAUAAUAUAUAUAGUGGCCAGGGUGAGUUCUGACUUCCUUAAUCUAGCAAAUAGAGAUUUCAAUACUUGACAAAAAUAACUUGACAUUGUAUUCUGGCUUCCUCACAAACAUCUCAAAAGAAAAGCAUCAUGGAGUGACAGGAGCGAUCUGUAAGUUUUGGUUCAGUUCCUAGUGAAUCACACAGAUCUAUUUGUGAUUGGCUAUAUAAAUUUUCUCCAUAUAAUCAGUCCUCCCCCCAGGUUUAUAUGAUCUCCUAAUAUACUCAAGACCUUCCAUGGUCAGACUUGCCAGAUAAGAAAGAAAGAAUUUAUUGAUUGAUUAAUUCUUUGAUUAGAGGAGAUACCCGGCAAAGAUAUUAACAGGUGAAUAAAUUUUUCUGAUAGUGAAUGUCUGAUCAUAUUGGUGUUAAAGUAGUUUUUAGCAAAAGUUUCCAUAAAAAGUAAGGCACUAAAGACAUAAAAAGACAAAAAUAAAGAUAUAUUGCCAAACCUGACUCCUUUCUGCCAAGAGUACCCUGAUAACAUAAUAUGUUAUAAAGGAAAGAGGGUUGGACUAAGCAUAUGGACAGAUUUUGACUUAAAGCCCACUAUUUACUAGGUAUGUUGACAAGAACAGUAACUUUCUCAGCUUUAUAACGGAGGUCAUUAUACCCAUAGUGCUUUCUUUGAAGGGGUGUUUUGAGACUCAGAUGAGAUGAUAUAUAUAAAGUGUUUUGUAAAAGCACUUUAAAAAUACUACAUAAAUGUUGGCUAUUGUUUCUUUAAAGAAUUGGCUAGAGGAGGACAUAUGGAUUGAAUAUAAUAAAUUAUAUACUGAGAUUUUUUUAAUUUGAAAACAGGACAAUAUUACUGAAUAGACAUGACAAAACUUCAUUUACUUUGGUGACUGUUUAGCUUUAAAACAAAUAUGCAAAAUCAGAGGUGUCAUGAGGAAAUAACAUUGCCUCCAAUCUUCUCCCUCCUUCCUGCCAUUUUUUUGAAUCCCUGGGUCAAUCCAAGAAUAAACUAAAGUUCUAACUCCUAUCUAAGGCACUUCUUGAUUUAUCCAAGUAUUAGUGUUUUCCAUUAUCCAUAUCCAUGGAAAUUAUUUUGUAUAUGUUUUCUAUGUCCUUGUAUUUAUCUUGUUUCCCCUAGUAGAAUAUAAGAUCCUUGAAGGAGUGGACUGUUUCAUUUUUGGUUUUUUAAAUCUUACAAAUAGCAUUGUGACUGGAAUAUAAAUGUCUAUUAAGUUAAACUAUAACCUGUAAAAUUCAAUAGAAUCAUGAACUAGCAUUACUCUACCAAAUAAUAUCUUUCCAUUAGGAAUUAUAUCUUCAGCACAACAAGAAAAUUCACCAUUCCAGGGACUCUAAUGAAUCUUUUCAGGUUCCAAGGCCAAAAGCCCCUAUGAGUUUGUACCAGACACAAAGCUACAGUGGUCCAGGAAAUUAGUUCCUACAGAACUAACAAGAAAGGUCAUAACCCAAUGUUUUUUACUCUGGCUGAUAGAGAGGGAGAAAGGAAGAUAAAGGGCAAAGAUUCUGUAGGAACCUGGACUUCCUGGAGAACAAAAUGCCAGAAGAUUUUUUGAGGGGCUGGGGGCAAAGGGCACUGAAACUAAGCACAUAGGAGCAUCUAAAGGUUAUAUACAGGAACAGAAUAAAAAGUCUUAUGAAGGACAUGGAAAUGGCCAAUAUGAAAGCAGCUCAAAUUCCAUAAUUAAAAAAUAUACAUAAAGAAGACAUGGAUCCUUGCAUUAACAGCAGAACAUAGGACAAAAGUAAACAGUUUUUCUUCUCUUUCCUCUCCUCAAACAAGAAAAUAGACUUAUUGAAACUUCCAAGCAAAUUACAUGGCCCAUGGAAUUGAUUUCCAGGGACAUAAAAGGAGUUUGAAAUGAUUUACCAUAAUCCAAAAAGGAGUAGGAACUGAAGAACUUUCUACUCUCAAUAAUUGGGGGGAGAAUAGGAGAUUAAAAAAAAGACCUUGAGAGAUGCUUGUGUGGGCCGAUUUGUGUCUUGGUUGGUAUGACAAAAGGGUCUGAUUAAUUAAAAAAAAAAAGUUUUUGUUUUAUCACCAGACAGUUACACAAAAGAGUGGCAACAUUAUUCUGAGUUCCCAACCCAGGAAGAAGACCUAAAGAGAUAUAAUAGCUUCAAACUAUUACCACAAUAAGAGAGUUGGAAAAGCUGAAAACAGUGACUAGGGAGGUAGAAUAGAACUUUA